AGGGCGGGGUCCGCGCAUCCUCGGCGGGGCGUGGGGGUUGGGGGGCUGUGGGUUGCCGGGCUCCCCGCGCGCCCUCCGUGCCCACGGGCUCGGGCCUGGAGGACUGGGCUCCCGCCCCACGCCCCGCGCGCCCCUUUCUAAAGUAAACACCUGGGAGAGGCGGUGGCCGGACCGGUGCAACCCAGCGCCGCCCACGGCCGCCGUUCGCUGCCUGCCUAGGUGCUGCAGACCCCGGGCGAGCCAUGGCCGAGGUGGUGUCUGCCUCGCCGUCGAGCGGCGGUGGCAGCCGAGGCCCGCACAGCUGCAUCAUCCAGUGGUUGGUCGACAACUUCUGCAUUCGCGAAGGGUACAGUACACCUCGCUGUCUCAUGUAUGAGAUUUACAUGGAGUCCUGUGGGCAAAAUGCUGAGAACCAAGUCAACCUGGCCACCUUUGGGAAGUGAUCACCUGCUCCACGGGAUCAUCCCCAACACUGAGUGUCCCUUUCACUCGCAAAUGUGUUACAAUAAAUUAUAAUGAAUUAUAUGGUCACCCCUGGUAUAAAGCAUCCUAUGUGUGAGGCAGCCGCUGUGGUGGAGAGAUGAGGAACCUCCAGUAUGGGUAAGACAGGGACUGUUUUCUGAUAGCUAAGAUGUCCAUUUACUUUUAUCCUCAAGUAUAACAUGACAUGUGUCAGAAACAUACAAAAGAUACCAUGAGAACUCAAAGAUGGGGAGCACACAUUUUGGGUGGGUGAUCACGAAGGGCCUACAAGGGCGUUGGGCUUUGAGUGAAGCAAUGAAGGACAGAUUAGAAUUUGACAGGUGGUGUCAGAGAGGGAUAUAGGAGUGCAGAGGACAUCCAGGCUUAGGGGAGCAAAGAUAAAGGUUUGUGAAGGCAAGGGCUUUGUCCUGCACAGGUGUGCAUGGAGCUCUAGUAAAACAUAAAUCUGGAGGGCAAGUUCAGGGAGCCUAGAUUGCCAGGCUGGGUAGUGAGGGGUGUCCACAAGUUCUUUGGAGGCUUCCUUUAGUAGAAUGGUAAUUACCAGAGGCUGGGGGGAAUAGGGAGGAAUGAAAGGUUGGUUAAUGAUUAAUGGAUAUCAACAUACAGUUAGAUAGAAGGAAUAAGCUCCAGUAUUUGAUAGCACAGUAGGGUGAUUAUAGUUAACAAUAUAUUGUGUAUUUCAAAAUAUUUAGAAGAUUUGAAAUGUUCCCAACACAAAGAAAUAAUAAAUAUUUAAGGUAAUGGAUAUGCUAAACACCCUGAUGCAUAUAUCACAAUAUCAUAUGUACCCCAUAAAUGUGUACAAUCAGUAUGUUUAAAAAAAAAAAGAA